rnacentral:pre_miRNA from 14 species
GAGCCCACUUCUGACCUCAGAUGCGGGAUUUUGGGGGCGAGAUGAGUUUUACUGCAAUCCAACUGGCCCGCAAAGUCCCGCUCCUGGUUCUCAUCGCUUCCCC